rnacentral:lncRNA from 1 species
GGAAAACAGAAGAAAAAGAAAAAUGUAAAGAUGGGAAGAAAGGGGGAAAGGAAAGAGGGAGGAGGAGGAAGGAAAGAAGGAUUUUUCCAUUUCUUGUUGGGCUGUGCACCCCUUAAAGAGAGCAAUGGCUUGUUAAGUCUAUCUUCUUUGAGUUGCUCACUUAACUGUCAUCUGUGUCCUGGAACGAAGCUGGUUGUACUGGCCCUCAGCUUCCCUUCUCAUCAGUUUAAGUUAGGACAGAAUGAGAAAUAGUGACAGAGUUUAAUCUGUUGAAACAAGGUAGAUGCUCUCCCAGGGCAAGGCUGAUUCAGAGUUCUAAGUGUGAAGUAUAGGCAACUGGCAUUUAGUUCUGACUGACCUUUCCAGCUUUGUCAAGAGGUAUCUGCUUUGGAGAGAAGAGCUCUACCACCCUACUACUGGGCAGAUGCUCAUCUCUGCUGGGAUCUGGGUGUGUGUGCAGAGGUGCUUCUGAGACUUCCACUCUUGGGGCAAAACAACCAUUUUUUUUCCCUCUUCUCAUACACUCUGCCACCCACAAAUGUGGUCUUCCCAAGAUCAGACACCAGCACAAAUGUGCCUGCCUGUCUCUCUAGCUCUUACAGCAAACUCUGAACCCAAAGGGAAAUCAAGAAGCACUCCACUCUUAAACCCUGGCCUGAGUCCCUCCACCCUCCCAGGUGCAAUACUCUGUGUCUGCCUCAGUUGCACUGCACCAAGAGGAUAUUGGAUCUCAUGGCAAGCACAUGCAAGAAAGUCAACUAAUGCUUAUUAUGAAAUCCUAGGUUCCUACUACAGAAAGCUACAACAGAAAUCCAUCACAAGGCAGCCUCAAGAAGGUGUCCAGUCAGCUCUCCACUCUCUAGAUGAGAAAUGAGGAGCACCCCUCAUUUCUCACAAGCUGGCUAUGCUGCCUCUGUGUCACUUAAGUUCAGACAAUACUGCUGUUCCAAGGAUUCCCCCAUACCAAAUUUUCUUCACAAACUUAACCUUUCUGCUUGGGUUGUCCCUUCCCUCUGUAGUGGACCAGUGAAAGGUAGUAUCAGCUGGAUUACAAGAUAUUCUUUCCUGGCCUCUAUUCAAAGAGCCUGAAUUUCCAUCCCUAUGAUUCUGAUAUUGAGAUUUGGUAAAUUCCCUCUGACACUCACCUCGCUGGGAAGAAGUAUUACUACUGCUUGAAUCCUGAGACAUGCAGUGACUGGAAACCACACCUUUUUGAUGGGCCUUUUCAGAGGUUCUGAUGAACUCUUCUGCCAGGACCACAGAGGUUAGGUAACAUCAGGCUACACAUCCAGGUUCUCCUGAACACUCUGGCACUAGACUUGUGCUUUCUCAGCUUCCAUCUCCUCACCAGUUCCCAGGUCUGCAUGGUGUGGUACACCCUCAGGGUCAUCUACAUUAGGCAAGCAAAUGAAGAAGUCUCAGAAUGACACAAAUACGCGUAAGCAGCAAUGUGUGAUGCUAACUACAUGGUUGACUUGGAACGUCUUCAUUGCUUACUAUCAGUGGUAGGCUUACAAAUCUCUCUCCAGUGUCUGUGCUAGCAUUUCCCUGACUUUACCAAGAGAGGCAGGCUAGGAAGUGACUCUUCCAUUCACAUUUCUAAUGCACUUUGGACCAAGGCUACCUGUUCCUCCCCAGGUCCACAGGAAAGCACAUGUUCCAGAUUGUUGACUGCUUUCUCUGUCUCCCACAGCCUUGAACAAAACAGAGUAUGGACCUUCUUCCCAUUCUAGUUCUCCUAAUAUCUUCUUCCAAGACACAUUUCCAUUCCCUGUCACUAUACAUUUUGUUUUCCUGGUUGGUUCUCCAGGGCCCUGACCCACUUCUUUCCCUGGAACUGAUGUACAUAGGGAUGUUUUCAGGUUGGAGCUCCCUAAGCAGGGGUAGCCUAAACUGUGAAUGUGUGUUUAUCUAUGUGCCUGGGAACUACUUAUCCAUGCAUCAUGAAGUAUGUAGUUGACUCAAUUAAACACUUACCGAAGGACUAUAAUAAAUGAUUUAACCAUUCAAUAUAUUCAAGAAAAUACAUCAAGAAUAUUUUUCCAGCUAGGUUUUUGCCAUUUUUAAGGAUAUGUAAAGGUGGCAAAAGUAAUAUUAGUUUUUGUUUCAGAAAGAACUCAAGUCUAAGUGUAGUGUCUAUGCAUUUAUGUUCAGAAAAUAGGAACUUAAAUGCUCUCUGUUUGAAAAAAAAUAUAAUUUUAUUUAUAAUGGAGGACUAGCCUAAAUAUUGUGGGUAAUUUCAUUCAUUCAUUCAUUCAUUCAUUCAAUAACCACUAUGAUAUAUCUGUCAUUGCUUAUAAGACAAGUCCCAAGUAUUCUUUAGUGUGGUCAUCUAAGAGGAGGGUCUGUCUUACUUUAUCCCCAGUCAUGUCAUCCCCACCACAUUCUGGUUCAUUCCACAUCAUGUAUCUCUAUAAUUCUGCUCCUAUUGGUACUUCCACACCAUCUUCUUGGUCUAUUUGUCUUCCUGGGAUGAUCAAAAACAUUACCUCUUUUCAGGACACCCCUUUCUUACACUUCUUUACUCCAGGUAGGAACAAUCUCUUGCUCAUGUGUCCUUACUGAACUUUACCUGUGCUUCUGUGCUUGCUCUUGACCUGUUGGAAUAAUACCCCCUCCUGAGAAGAGGGGUUUUUGAGGGUAGUGGCUGAUUUUCCUCAUUUCUCACCUCUCUGUAUGGAGCAGAGAACUGCAAGCAUGAUAGUCAUUUCUCCUAAUAUAGAUUUGAAAUUUCUUUGAAUAGAAAAACACUGCAAUGCUUUUUAAAGAAUAUGAUAUCAUUCAUUGUAAUAUCACAUUUUCAAAGAACAAGGUUGAUAUUUUACUUCCAAUUUAUAUACCAGAAAACUAAGGUUUGCAAGGCUUUUCACUUGUACACAAAUCACAUGUGGCCAAGAGCCACAUGACAGCAUCCUAUGCCCUUCCACUGUAGGGCAUUCUUCCCUCUUAACAUAACAUCAUUAAAAAUCAACAAUGUAUAAAGGGUGUUGACCACAACAUUUCAAUGAACAUCCGAGCAGCCAACUGACAAAGGAAAGAAAAUGCUUAUUAUAUAGUAUUUCCCCAAGGACAUUUCACAGGACUCUAAACCUGGAGAGAUUUUUGUAAGGAAAACAAAAGUCAGUUGACCAAAUAAUUUGGAGAAAACUACACUUCAGGGCAACCUCACAUUGUGCAUAAGUGUUCAAGACACAGAACUGUUUUUCCAGCUAUGUCAAGUUCAACGGUAUUUACCCAGGAUUUUCCAUAUGUCUUUAAGAACAGAAAACUAUUUUUUUUAAAUAAAAUUCUAACAGAAUUAAUACCAGACUAAAUAGAAUUAAAUACCAGCUAUGCAAAACGAAUUGUACCAGGUUUCUAGAAGCAAAAUCCUUUCCUGUCCAUGAGUUCUGGGUGGAUUUAGGGUGAUUCAAUAUGUAAAAUUAACUAAGAUUCUAUUUAAAGUAAUACAUAAUUAUUCUGUGUGACAUGUUGCUACAUCUAUAUGUGACAAAUCCUUAAACCAUUGCUCUCUGGAGGCAAUUUUAAGAAAUCCAAAGUGAAUAUUUAUCUGAUCUAUGGUUUUGGAGUUAUACUGGCUUUUAAACUCAAUUUAUCAUGCAGAGAACAAUAGUUUUCCCAGACUACAGAGUCUGAUAUAUUUGGUAAGUGUGAGUUCACAGUGACAGGAAGCCUGCUGGCUUCUAUUGAUUUACUUUGGUUUAUGACAGUUCAUUGAUUUCAGAGGAGAAAUUUAUUUUUAAAAAAGCCCUCUUCUUAUUAUUUUUCAUCAAAGUUUACUAAGCUCCAGAACACAUUGUUUUCUUAUGAUUUCUAAAACAAAAACGUUUCAUGAAUUGUGUGUGCUUGAUUUUGAAGCACAAUGAUGGCAUUUUCUUUGAAACUCAUAUGAAGUUGUCAAUUAACCAGAGAUGUAUUUGGAAGAAUAUGUUUCUGGAUUAUUCAGUCAAAAAGCAACUUCAAAAAUACUUUAGUUUUUUUCAGUGGAUUCAAAAUGCUUUCAGUACUUAUUCUUUUCCUAAUUCUUCACCAGUUUUCUGACUCAGUCCUUCCAUUUGGUUGGAGAGAAUGGAGGGAAAAACUGAAUUAUUCUGGGAUAGUCUUGAGUUUCUAACUGAAACUAGUUUUUCUACUUCAGGGACUUCUUUCACUAUUUUCCCAUGAGCAAGCACGAGACUCAGGCUGAGCACAGUACAGCACCAUGUGUGAGCUUCAGGAAAUGGCAGAAGCCUGAGAUUCUGUUAAUUGAGCUUGCUCAGAAUAAUGAGUAUUGUUGGACCAUCUUUUAAUACAUCCAGGUAUGGUUUAACAUGGAGCACAGGUGCUGAAAUUCUGGGCAAAUGAUUUUUGGUAGAGAUGAGAAAGUAAAAGUUUUUCCUGAUAGAUUACCAUGGACAUGGGCAUGGUAAGUAAAGGAAACAUGGGUAGAGAGGGGGAAGGUGUUCCACUGACAAAAUACGAAUCAUUCCCAAAUAAUUAAAGUAUAACAAUGGCAAAUUAGCAAUGCACAAUAGUUGGAAAGCAUCAAAAUUCAGAGUAGGUCUAAGAGAAAUCUUAAGUUACCAGGUUCGCUACUUGGUUGAGGAUCCAUGGAAGAUGCCCAGGCUCUGUGAAUUCUAAGGUGGAAAUCUGAAGCUGGAAGAAUGAGAACAAGAAAUCCAGGGGAAAAUGCCUACAUAUAUGGGAGAUGGGAUAAGAACAGGAAGAAAAGUAGACACAGGCACACAAGAAUAACACCAGGUGAGGAUGGAAACAGAUCUCAGUGAUUCUUCUACAAGUCAAUGUUUGCCAAACCUUGCCAGAAAAGGACAGGGUCAGAACAGAUCCUUCUCUCACAGCCUCAGAAGGAAUCAGCCUUGCUGACACCCUAAUCUCAAACUCCUAGCCUCCAAAUCUGUAAAAGAUCAAAUUUCCAUUGUUUAAUCCAGACAGUCUAGGGCACUUUGUUAUGGCCUUCAUAACAAACUAACAUAAUCAUUAAAUGUAUAUUAUUUUUUUUCUUGCUUCUACUUUUUUUUCACUCUCUUUUGCAUGUGCAAUACUCAUCCUUCCUUAAUCUCCUGAAAAAAAUUUCUCUUUAGAUCCAAGACCUAGCAGAGACUGGCUGUCUCUCCUGAAAUCUCUACCAUUUCACCCUACACACAUUUUCUUUCCUCUGUUCCAAAUGAAUCUAAUUCAGUCACUGUCUAUAACACUUAGUAGGUGCUGUGUGUUGCCAUUACUUCUCUUUGCCACUUAAACAGCUCUCCUGGGUGGUAGGGGAUGAAAUUUUCUUUCUCUAUCUCUUCUGAUCAUAGAGUACAAUCAUGGGUUGACCCCAGGAAAUGUGUGCCAAAACACGAUUUGUAAACUUAUAAGAUUUCAGUCUCUUCCUCUUCCCUAACGUAAUGAAGCGGUAGGUUUCAAAGAAUACAAAGAUCAUCUCCACUAAUGGGCCAUAAAACACAGUUGUUUCCUCAUGGAGGUCACAGGAGGGCCACGCACAUCCAGACACCUCCCUCAUAGCCUUAUUAUUUCAGCUGAACUCAGACGUCACUGGGAGCAAGUGGAUGUGGACACAUGUGCUGCCUCUGGUUCUCUGCCACUGUCUUACUCCCAGCUCACUUCCAGUUUGACCAUAUGUUUUCCCUCAACUUUAAUGAAGCAAAAAGACUAACACAAGAAUUGAAAGGAGAAUUUGUUGGUGGCAAUGACAAAACUGGUUAGAAGAGCUAUUCAUUAAUUUUUUUUAGAAAAGGAAACAUAUUAGGGAGAUUUUGAAGAAAAAUCAAUAGAGCUUGGUAAGUAAUUGAAUAUAGAUUCCAGAUAAGGUCAUAUCUUUCUCAGUGUGUUGAGUCAUUGGGAAUUUAGAGACUAUUGGUGCAAUACCAAACAUGAAAGAUUGCCUGCUGUGCACAUCUCUCCUAGUUGAGUCACCAUCCUACUUCCCAUCUAACCAGCCCUGCUGUACUUUGCUCUUUAACCACGCAGGAAAAUAUGGACACUCAGGGUCUUCUCCUUCCCAUGUAUGCUCCUUCACAAAAGCCCCUGCUCUUCUUGGUUCUCCAGGAAAUGCCUACUAAUCCCAUACUCCCUGACCCCGGGUUCACUUCCUUUUGAAAGAUUUCUCUUGUUCUUCCUGAAUACAAUUCUCCAUGUGUGAACACUACACAUCAUAUGCCCCUUGCACUUGAAAAUUAUUACUAGAGAGCUAAUGAGCAUAUCUCACAGUAAUUUCAGAAGGAAGGAAUAGAAUCUGGUCAUGCCCUCUCCUUAAUGAAUGUUUCCUUCAUUUGGAUUCUAAAUUGUUACUUCCCCAGCAUCUUCCUGACUUGCUAUUGCUCUAAGAGGAUGAAUUCUUUUGAUGGCUCCUUCUGAUCUCAGCAUCAUGAACUAGUUACAAAUCCAGGAAUCAAUUUGUUUUCUUCUCCUAUAUUUCCCUUAUUACACCCCCUUGUAACUUCAUAGAGUCACAUGGCUCCAAAUAGAGUUAACCUUCCACACCCACAGGAUCCAUCUCCAGUUUCAAGCAACUGUGGAUAAAAAAUAUUCUGAAAAAGAUGUGGCCUCUGUACUAAACAUGUGCAGAUUUUUUUUGUCAUUAAUGCCAUAGUUAAUAGUAUAACAACUAUUUAUAGAGUAGUAGGAAUUCUAAGCAAAAUAGAGAUGAUUUAAAGUGUGUGAAAGGAUGUCUGUAGGUUAUAUGAAAAUACCACACCAUUUUCUUUUUUUAAUUUUUGUAUAUGCACCUUUUAAAAUUUUUUUGUAGUUUAUAAUAUCUUUAUUUAUUUAUUUUUGCAUUAGAAUUCUUAUUACACAUAUACAGCACAUUUUUUCAUAUCCCUGGUUGUAUAUAAAGUAUGUUCACACCAAUUUAUAUCUUCAUACAUGUUCUUUGGAUAAUAAUGUCUAUCACCUUCCACCAUCCUUGCUAAUCCCCUGCCCCCUCCCUUUCCUUCCCACCCCUCUGCCCUAUCUAGAGUUCAUCUAUUCCUCCCUUCUCCCCUCCUUAACCCACUAUCAGCCUUCUUAUAUCAGAGAAAACAUUCUGCAUUUGUUUUUUAGGGAUUGGCUAACUUCACUUAGCAUUGUCUUCUCCAGUGCCACCCAUUUACCUGCAAAUGCCAUGAUUUUAUUCUCUUUUAUUGAUGAAUAAUAUUCCAUUGUGUAUAUAUAUGCCACAUUUUUUGUAUCCAUUCAUCUACUGAAGGGCAUCUAGGUUGGUUCCACAGUUUAGCUAUUAUGAAUUGUGCUGCCAUAAACAUUGAUAUGGCUGUGUCUCUGUAGUAUGCUGGUUAAGUCCUUUGAGUAUAGACGGAGGAGAGGGAUUAGCUGGGUCAAGUGGUGGUUCCAUUCCCAGUUUUCCAAGGAAUCUCCAUACUGCUUUCCAUAUUACCUGCAAGAAUUUGCAGUCCCAGCAAUGUAUGACUGUACAUUUUCCCCACAUCCUCGCCAACACUUAUUGUUGUAUGUCUUCAUAAUAGCUGCCAUUCUGACUGGAGUGAGAUGAUAUCUUACACUAGUUUUGAUUUGCAUUUCUCUAAUUGUUAGAGAUGAUGAACAUUUUUUCAUAUAUUUGUUGAUUGAUUACAUAUCCUCUUCUGAGAAGUGUCUGUUCAGGUCCUUGACCCAUUUAUUGAUUGGGUUAUUUGUUUUAUUUAUUUUUUUUUUUUGAGCUUAGCUUUUUGAGUUCUUUUUAUACCCUACACAUUAGUGCUCUAUUUGAUGUGUGAGGGGUAAAUAUUUGCUCCUAAGAUGUAGGUUUUCUAUUCACCUAACAGAUUGUUUCUUUUUCUUAGAAGAAACUUUAUAGUUUGAAUCCAUUCCAUUUAUUGAUUCUUGGUUUUAAUUUUUGCACUAUAGGAAUCUUAUUAAGAAAGUUGGGGCCUAAUCCCACAUGAUGAAGAUUAGGACCUACUUUUUCUUCUAUUAGAUGCAGAGUCUCUAGUUUAAUUCCUAGGUCCUUGAUCCACUUGAGUUGAGUUUUAUGCCUGGUGAGAGAUAGGGUGAGAGAUCUGGCUGCACAGGCUCAAGCUUUCUCUGCCCCCAAAUCUUUGGACUGUUUCUUGUGUUUAGAAUGUUCUUUCACAUAGUUAUUUAAUUUCAUUUUGUUGCAUAUGGAUUUCCAGUUUUUCCAGCCCCAUUUGUUGAAGAGGCUAUCUUUUCUCCAAUGCAUAUUUUUGUCACCUUUGUCUAAUAUAAGAAAAUUGCAAUUUUGUGGGUUAGUCUCUGUGUCCUCUAUAUUGGCCUACCAGUCUUUUUUGCCACCAUUUUCUUGAGCAUCUAUGGAUUUUGGUAUACAUGGGUUCUGGAGCCAAAUCGCCAUGGAUAGUGAGGAAUGAGUGUGUUGACUCUGCUGACUCUUCCCUGUGAAUAUCUCAAUUCAAGUCUUUUGCCUUGAACUAUACAUUUCCUUACACUUAACUGCUCUUGGUGACUGCAUCAUGGUAUUUUAUCUGCAUCUCCCAUAUAACAUCCCAAAGUUCAAACCAUUUCUUCUACACAAAUGUGUUCCAUUGUCUACCUUUAUUUGGGAUGAUGAGGAUGUCAACUCUCAGUCCUUGAGUAGUCAUUUCUCUUCUACCUCAUUUAUGACCCAUCCCAAUCCUUAAAAAACAAAUGCUGAAUGUCUUCUUUGAUAUAAGGGGGGGUGACUCAAAGCAGAGUAGGGAGGAAGAACAUGAGAAGAAGAUUAC